rnacentral:rRNA from 1 species
AACGCGAAGAACCUUACCUAGUGUUUGACAUCCCGCGAAUCCCUUGAGAAACUUGGGAGUGCUCUUCGGAGAACGCGGAGACAGGUGCUGCAUGGCUGUCGUCAGCUCGUGCCGUGAGGUGUUGGGUUAAGUCCCGCAACGAGCGCAACCCUUNUCUUUAGNCUGCCAUCAGGUGAAGCUGGGCACUCUAGAGAGACCGCCUCGGUCAACGGGGAGGAAGGUGGGGACGACGUCAAGUCAUCAUGGCCCUUACGCCUAGGGCUACACACGUACUACAAUGGCGGAUACAAAGGGUAGCGAAGCCGCGAGGCGAAGCCAACCCCAAAAAGUCCGUCUCAGUUCGGAUUGCAGUCUGCAACUCGACUGCAUGAAGCCGGAAUCGCUAGUAAUCGCGCAUCAGCAUGGCGCGGUGAAUACGUUCCCGGGUCUUGUACACACCG